rnacentral:rRNA from 1 species
CCUACGGGAGGCAGCAGUGGGGAAUAUUGGGCAAUGGAGGAAACUCUGACCCAGCGACGCCGCGUGCGGGAUGAAGGCCUUCGGGUUGUAAACCGCUUUCAGUAGGGAAGAAGCGAAAGUGACGGUACCUACAAAAGAAGCACCGGCUAACUAUGUGCCAGCAGCCGCGGUAAUACAUAGGGUGCAAGCGUUGUCCGGAAUUAUUGGGCGUAAAGAGCUCGUAGGUCGUUUGUUACGUCGGAUGUGAAAACCCUGAGGCUCAACCUCAGGCCUGCAUUCGAUACGGGCAAACUAGAGUUUGGUAGGGGUAGACUGGAAUUCCUGGUGUAGCGGUGGAAUGCGCAGAUAUCAGGAGGAACACCAAUGGCGAAGGCAGGUCUCUGGGCCAAUACUGACACUGAGGAGCGAAAGUCUGGGGAGCGAACAGGAUUAGAUACCCUGGUAGUCCAGACCGUAAACGGUGGGCACUAGUUGUGGGAACCUUCCACGGUUUUCUGCGACGCAGCUAACGCAUUAAGUGCCCCGCCUGGGGAUACGAUCGCAGAUUAAAACCGUUAAAUGAAUUGACCGGNNGAGAGUGCGACGACGACGACGAGGAGAG